CGCACCGUGGCGCAGAGUUUAGCAUGUCGGCCUCUGACGCUGAACGCGUGGGUUCGAAUCCUGCCGAUACCA
rnacentral:tRNA from 1 species